ACUAGCAUAUCAAUAAGCGGAGGAAAAGAAACCAACAGGGAUUGCCCUAGUAACGGCGAGUGAAGCGGCAACAGCUCAAAUUUGAAAUCUGGCUCUCUUUGGGGGUCCGAGUUGUAAUUUGCAGAGGAUGCUUUGGCAUUGGCGGCGGUCUAAGUUCCUUGGAACAGGACAUCGCAGAGGGUGAGAAUCCCGUACGUGGGCGCCUGCCUUUGCCGUGUAAAGCUCCUUCGACGAGUCGAGUUGUUUGGGAAUGCAGCUCUAAAUGGGAGGUAAAUUUCUUCUAAAGCUAAAUACCGGCCAGAGACCGAUAGCGCACAAGUAGAGUGAUCGAAAGAUGAAAAGUACUUUGGAAAGAGAGUCAAAAAGCACGUGAAAUUGUUGAAAGGGAAGCGCUUGCAGCCAGACUUGCCCGCAGUUGCUCACCUAGGCUUUGGCCUGGGGCACUCUUCUGCGGGCAGGCCAGCAUCAGUUUGGGCGGUCGGACAAAGGCCUCUGUCAAGUAUCUCCCUUCGGGGUGACCUUAUAGGGGAGGCGUAAUGCGACCAGCCCGGACUGAGGUCCGCGCAUCUGCUAGGAUGCUGGCGUAAUGGCUGUAAGCGGCCCGUCUUGAAACACGGACCAAGGAGUCUAACAUCUAUGCGAGUGUUUGGGUGUCAAGCCCGGGCGCGCAAUGAAAGUGAACGGAGGUGGGAACCCUUUGGGUGCACCAUCGACCGAUCCUGAUGUCUUCGGAUGGAUUUGAGUAAGAGCAUAGCUGUUGGGACCCGAAAGAUGGUGAACUAUGCUUGAAUAGGGUGAAGCCAGAGGAAACUCUGGUGGAGGCUCGCAGCGGUUCUGACGUGCAAAUCGAUCGUCAAAUUUGGGCAUAGGGGCGAAAGACUAAUCGAACCAUCUAGUAGCUGGUUCCUGCCG
rnacentral:rRNA from 1 species